rnacentral:rRNA from 1 species
UACGGAGGGUGCAAGCGUUGUCCGGAUUUAUUGGGUUUAAAGGGUGCGUAGGCGGCCUUGUAAGUCAGGGGUGAAAGCCUCCAGCUCAACUGGAGAACUGCCAUUGAUACUGCAAGGCUUGAGUACAGACGAGGUUGGCGGAAUUGAUUGUGUAGCGGUGAAAUGCAUAGAUACAAUCAAGAACUCCGAUUGCGUAGGCAGCUAACUAGGCUGUAACUGACGCUGAGGCACGAAAGCGUGGGGAGCGAACAGG